GAAGGGACAUCUAACAAGAUUGCACGUUUGGCAGAAGGCACAGCAAGUAAAAAAGAGUUAUUAUCUAUGAAAACAAUACAAAAGAAAUGUGAAGAACUACAGAAGAAUACAAAGAAAUUGGAAUAAGAAGUAAUAAACCUUGAAAGCCACACAGAAAUGAAUAUGGCAGAAUGUGGACAAUUAGAACAGUAUCAAUCAGAGACUAAAGAAAGAGCAAGACAGGUAAUAGUAGAAAAAUUAAAUGAAGUCAAUCUGUUUUUACAGAACUAAUGAGAGACUAGCAGAGGUCAGUACCAAACUUCUUGUGGAGAAAGAGCAGACCAGAUCUUUAUUUACUAAUCAUACUACAAGGCCAGUCCUAGACUCACCUUGUGUUGGAAAUCUUAAUAAUAGUUUAGGGCUCUACAGAAAACAUAUUCCAAGAGAAAACUUAAUGAUCCCUACCUCAGGCCCACAGACUUCAAAUAACAGAAUAAAGAACUACUUGUUGAAGAUACAGCAAG
rnacentral:lncRNA from 1 species